UACAGAGGGUGCGAGCGUUAAUCGGAAUUACUGGGCGUAAAGCGCGCGUAGACGGUUUUGUAAGUCAGAUGUGAAAUCCCUGGGCUCAACCUGGGAACUGCAUUUGAGACUGCAUGGCUAGAGUAUGGAAGAGGGAGGUGGAAUUUCCGGUGUAGCGGUGAAAUGCGUAGAUAUCGGGAGGAACACCUGUGGCGAAGGCGGCCCCCUGGUCGGAUACUGACGCUGAGACGCGAAAGCGUGGGGAGCAAACAGG
rnacentral:rRNA from 1 species